UUUCUUCUUCUUCUUCGUCUUCUUCAA
rnacentral:sRNA from 1 species